CGGACGGGUGAGUAACGCGUGGGUAACCUGCCUUGUACUGGGGGACAACAGUUGGAAACGACUGCUAAUACCGCAUAAGCGCACAGCUUCGCAUGAGGCAGUGUGAAAAACUCCGGUGGUACAAGAUGGACCCGCGUCUGAUUAGCUGGUUGGUGAGGUAACGGCCCACCAAGGCGACGAUCAGUAGCCGGCCUGAGAGGGUGAACGGCCACAUUGGGACUGAGACACGGCCCAA
rnacentral:rRNA from 1 species